rnacentral:rRNA from 1 species
GGGACACGUGGUAUCCUGUCUGAAUAUGGGGGGACCAUCCUCCAAGGCUAAAUACUCCUGACUGACCGAUAGUGAACCAGUACCGUGAGGGAAAGGCGAAAAGAACCCCGGCGAGGGGAGUGAAAAAGAACCUGAAACCGUGUACGUACAAGCAGUGGGAGCACGCUUAGGCGUGUGACUGCGUACCUUUUGUAUAAUGGGUCAGCGACUUAUAUUCUGUAGCAAGGUUAACCGAAUAGGGGAGCCGAAGGGAAACCGAGUCUUAACUGGGCGUUAAGUUGCAGGGUAUAGACCCGAAACCCGGUGAUCUAGCCAUGGGCAGGUUGAAGGUUGGGUAACACUAACUGGAGGACCGAACCGACUAAUGUUGAAAAAUUAGCGGAUGACUUGUGGCUGGGGGUGAAAGGCCAAUCAAACCGGGAGAUAGCUGGUUCUCCCCGAAAGCUAUUUAGGUAGCGCCUCGUGAAUUCAUCUCCGGGGGUAGAGCACUGUUUCGGCAAGGGGGUCAUCCCGACUUACCAACCCGAUGCAAACUGCGAAUACCGGAGAAUGUUAUCACGGGAGACACACGGCGGGUGCUAACGUCCGUCGUGAAGAGGGAAACAACCCAGACCGCCAGCUAAGGUCCCAAAGUCAUGGUUAAGUGGGAAACGAUGUGGGAAGGCCCAGACAGCCAGGAUGUUGGCUUAGAAGCAGCCAUCAUUUAAAGAAAGCGUAAUAGCUCACUGGUCGAGUCGGCCUGCGCGGAAGAUGUAACGGGGCUAAACCAUGCACCGAAGCUGCGGCAGCGACGCUGAUGCGUUGUUGGGUAGGGGAGCGUUCUGUAAGCCUGCGAAGGUGUGCUGUGAGGCAUGCUGGAGGUAUCAGAAGUGCGAAUGCUGACAUAAGUAACGAUAAAGCGGGUGAAAAGCCCGCUCGCCGGAAGACCAAGGGUUCCUGUCCAACGUUAAUCGGGGCAGGGUGAGUCGACCCCUAAGGCGAGGCCGAAAGGCGUAGUCGAUGGGAAACAGGUUAAUAUUCCUGUACUUGGUGUUACUGCGAAGGGGGGACGGAGAAGGCUAUGUUGGCCGGGCGACGGUUGUCCCGGUUUAAGCGUGUAGGCUGGUUUUCCAGGCAAAUCCGGAAAAUCAAGGCUGAGGCGUGAUGACGAGGCACUACGGUGCUGAAGCAACAAAUGCCCUGCUUCCAGGAAAAGCCUCUAAGCAUCAGGUAACAUCAAAUCGUACCCCAAACCGACACAGGUGGUCAGGUAGAGAAUACCAAGGCGCUUGAGAGAACUCGGGUGAAGGAACUAGGCAAAAUGGUGCCGUAACUUCGGGAGAAGGCACGCUGAU